rnacentral:rRNA from 1 species
GACGAACGCUGGCGGCGUGCUUAACACAUGCAAGUCGAGCGGUAAGGCCCUUUCGGGGGUACACGAGCGGCGAACGGGUGAGUAACACGUGGGUGACCUGCCCUCAGCUCUGGGGAUAAGCCUGGGAAACUGGGUCUAAUACUGGAUAUGACUCCACGGUGCAUGUCGUGGGGUGGAAAGCCUUGUGCGGCUGAGGAUGGGCCCGCGGCCUAUCAGCUUGUUGGUGGGGUGAUGGCCUACCAAGGCGACGACGGGUAGCCGGCCUGAGAGGGCGACCGGCCACACUGGGACUGAGACACGGCCCAGACUCCUACGGGAGGCAGCAGUGGGGAAUCUUGCGCAAUGGGCGAAAGCCUGACGCAGCGACGCCGCGUGAGGGAUGACGGCCU